GACGAACGCUGGCGGCGUGCCUAAUACAUGCAAGUAGAACGCACAGUUUAUACCGUAGCUUGCUACACCAUAAACUGUGAGUUGCGAACGGGUGAGUAACGCGUAGGUAACCUGCCUGGUAGCGGGGGAUAACUAUUGGAAACGAUAGCUAAUACCGCAUAAUAUUAAUUAUUGCAUGAUAAUUGAUUGAAAGAUGCAAUUGCAUCACUACCAGAUGGACCUGCGUUGUAUUAGCUAGUAGGUGAGGUAACGGCUCACCUAGGCGACGAUACAUAGCCGACCUGAGAGGGUGAUCGGCCACACUGGGACUGAGACACGGCCCAGACUCCUACGGGAGGCAGCAGUAGGGAAUCUUCGGCAAUGGACGAAAGGCUGACCGAGCAACGCCGCGUGAGUGAAGAAGGUUGUCGGAUCGUAAAGCUCUGUUGUAAGAGAAGAACGGGUGUGAGAGUGGAAAGUUCACACUGUGACGGUAUCUUACCAGAAAGGGACGGCUAACUACGUG
rnacentral:rRNA from 1 species